AACGUAUAAACAUGUCUAUAGACCAUCUUACCUUAGUGAGAUUGUAUAUAAGACAUAAGAAGUUUAAAAUUUUUAAUUCUGAACAUAAUGAGGAAGCUAUUUAUUUUAUAAUACUUUCAUUUUAAGAAAAAUGCAAAUAAAAUUAUUUAGGUUAUGUAUUUUUUAUCAAUAAGAUCCUUGUGGUAGAGGAUUAGAGUACUCCCACCAUAUCUCAAUCUGCCGCAAGAGGCCAUAAAUGGGAUUGGAGUCAAGUCAACAGCGUACAAUUUUGUUGAAUAGCAUGAAAUGUCUUAAUUAGGGAUUAAGGAGAUUACAUGAUCUGGGAUAUACAUGGGGAAUUGAUGUAGCUAGGGUUAGAGGCCUGGGUGAGCAUGUGAUUUUUAACCAGAUAACAAGUGCAGUAGAAGUUUCAGCAGUCAUGUGUACAGACCAACUAUUGUAGUUCUAGGUAGGAAACGGUGUAGGAACAUCAUUACUGCUCUAUAGAUUAAACCUACAAAAGAAUAAGAGUAUACCUAUUUCUCUUACAAGUAAGAGAAAUAGGUAUAAGGUAAGAAUAUAAAUUUGGAAUGUAUUGAACGAUCCCAAAUAGUUGGGAUGAAAGCAAAGGACAUGACAAGAAUAUUUUAUCCAAAUU